rnacentral:rRNA from 1 species
UACGUAGGGGGCAAGCGUUGUCCGGAAUCAUUGGGCGUAAAGAGCGUGUAGGCGGCCUGGUAAGUCCGCUGUGAAAGUCCAGGGCUCAACCCUGGAAUGCCGGUGGAAACUGUCAGGCUCGAGUCCGGAAGAGGCGAGUGGAAUUCCUGGUGUAGCGGUGAAAUGCGUAGAUAUCAGGAGGAACACCGGUGGCGAAGGCGGCUACCUGGACCAUAACUGACGCUGAGGCGCGAAAGCUAGGGGAGCAAACAGG